rnacentral:rRNA from 1 species
CCUACGGGUGGCAGCAGUGAGGAAUAUUGGUCAAUGGACGCGAGUCUGAACCAGCCAAGUAGCGUGAAGGAUGACUGCCCUACGGGUUGUAAACUUCUUUUAUAUAGGAAUAAAGUGUUCCACGUGUGGCUUUUUGUAUGUACCAUAUGAAUAAGGAUCGGCUAACUCCGUGCCAGCAGCCGCGGUAAUACGGAGGAUCCGAGCGUUAUCCGGAUUUAUUGGGUUUAAAGGGAGCGUAGGUGGGUUGUUAAGUCAGUUGUGAAAGUUUGCGGCUCAACCGUAAAAUUGCAAUUGAUACUGGCAGUCUUGAGUACAGUAGAGGUAGGCGGAAUUCGUGGUGUAGCGGUGAAAUGCUUAGAUAUCACGAAGAACUCCGAUUGCGAAGGCAGCUUACUGGACUGCCACUGACAUUGAUGCUCGAAAGUGUGGGUAUCAAACAGGAUUAGAUACCCUAGUAGUC